rnacentral:rRNA from 1 species
CGUACACUCCUACGGGAGGCAGCAGUGGGGAAUAUUGCACAAUGGGCGCAAGCCUGAUGCAGCCAUGCCGCGUGUAUGAAGAAGGCCUUCGGGUUGUAAAGUACUUUCAGCGGGGAGGAAGGCGAUAAGGUUAAUAACCUUGUCGAUUGACGUUACCCGCAGAAGAAGCACCGGCUAACUCCGUGCCAGCAGCCGCGGUAAUACGGAGGGUGCAAGCGUUAAUCGGAAUUACUGGGCGUAAAGCGCACGCAGGCGGUCUGUCAAGUCGGAUGUGAAAUCCCCGGGCUCAACCUGGGAACUGCAUUCGAAACUGGCAGGCUAGAGUCUUGUAGAGGGGGGUAGAAUUCCAGGUGUAGUGGUGAAAUGCGUAGAGAUCUGGAGGAAUACCGGUGGCGAAGGCGGCCCCCUGGACAAAGACUGACGCUCAGGUGCGAAAGCGUGGGGAGCAAACAGGAUUAGAAACCCUGGUAGUCCCAUG